GUUUUAAUAAUUUAAUAUAAAAUAUUGGUCUUGUAAACCAAAAUUAAGAAAUUCUUUUAAAACA
rnacentral:tRNA from 1 species